GUACUAGUCUCACCAAGACUGUCCCUUUCUGAAAUGUUGGGGUUUUGUAAUUACAUACAGAAUGUAGCAUAGUGAGGAAUAGUCAGAGUCAGUCUUUUAGCUAGAGUUAGAGGUAGCAUCUAGUGUGGCUAAAGGGGCACAGAAAAUUAGCUCCUUUCCCUGCCUGCCAUGGGCCUGAAAUCCUUACCACACAUCUCUUGCUUGGCUUAAGGUUCCCGUUAGAAUGUAAAUCUAUUACCUGGGAAGAGAAGGCAUUAUGCCACCAUUAGUCAUUCGUUUACUGAAUCUACUCUUGUCACUCAGCAGGGCCUGAAGGACUGGGACAUAGGACAAACAAGCUUCAACUAGAUACUUUAAAAAUUUUUAUGGAGAUAAUUACCUGCUGCCCUCAAAUUGGUUAUGUUUACUUUUCUGGAGGAGGGAAAAUGGACUAAAUGAGGUUUUCGAAACCCAAUUCUCCAAUGACUUAAAUGGCUUUGAUUUCCGCAUUUGAAAAAUGGAUCUACUGUUACUGAUCUGCAUGUGGAAUUUUCCUACGAAAAAGAAACCCAGCUAAUUCUUCCGGGGGAAAAAAAGGUCCCAGUUUAAAAUUCUGAUGCCUUUGGUAAGUUGUCCACAGAAGAGAGAAAUUUCGUUAAUGAUCUACCCACCUUGCUCUCAGGUAUGCCUCCCAUGUUUCAAGGUUCCCUAUGUACCUUUAAUUUUGAUAAUAAUUAGGAAGCUUGUAAGCAUUAUCAGGAAGCAACUGUGUGCCCUGGUUGGGGGAGGGUGAAUACAUCUGGGCAUUAAGUAACUGGCCCUCAAUCUCUCUGAAUGACAUUUCAGUGCAUUUUUUAAGGAUCAAUUUUCAUACUUCAUUGUGGUGGCUGAUUCUGGUAUGCUGGACAGAAAGGUUUAUGAUGCCCAAUGGGUUAAUCAGCUUUGACCAAAUCUUUCUUGAAGUACUAAAAUGGAGUGUAGCUCUCAUCCACAGCAGCUUUCUCCCUCUGCUCAUUAGUUCAUGUCGGGACUUUAAUAGUACAAAGCAAAAGAAAGAGGGUGUGUGUUUGCGUGUCCC
rnacentral:lncRNA from 10 species